rnacentral:rRNA from 1 species
AUAUCAAUAAGCGGAGGAAAAGAAACCAACAGGGAUUGCCCCAGUAACGGCGAGUGAAGCGGCAACAGCUCAAAUUUGAAAUCUGGCCCCUCCGGGUCCGAGUUGUAAUUUGUAGAGGAUGCUUUUGGUGAGGUGCCGCCCGAGUUCCCUGGAACGGGACGCCACAGAGGGUGAGAGCCCCGUCUGGCUGGCCACCGAGCCUCUGUAAAGCUCCUUCGACGAGUCGAGUAGUUUGGGAAUGCUGCUCAAAAUGGGAGGUAUAUGUCUUCUAAAGCUAAAUAUUGGCCAGAGACCGAUAGCGCACAAGUAGAGUGAUCGAAAGAUGAAAAGCACCUUGAAAAGAGGGUUAAACAGUACGUGAAAUUGUUGAAAGGGAAGCGCUUGUGACCAGACUUGGGCGCGGCGGAUCAUCCGGGGUUCUCUCCGGUGCACUUCGCCGCGUUCAGGCCAGCAUCAGUUCGUCGCGGGGGAAAAAGGCUUCGGGAACGUGGCUCCUCCGGGAGUGUUAUAGCCCGUUGCAUAAUACCCUGCGGUGGACUGAGGACCGCGCAUCUGCAAGGAUGCUGGCGUAAUGGUCACCAGCGA